rnacentral:rRNA from 1 species
UGAGGAAUAUUGGUCAAUGGGCGCGAGCCUGAACCAGCCAAGUAGCGUGAAGGAUGACUGCCCUACGGGUUGUAAACUUCUUUUAUAAAGGAAUAAAGUGAGGCACGUGUGCCUUUUUGUAUGUACUUUAUGAAUAAGGAUCGGCNAACUCCGUGCCAGUAGCCGCGGUAAUACGGAGGAUCCGAGCGUUAUCCGGAUUUAUUGGGUUUAAAGGGAGCGUAGAUGGGUUGUUAAGUCAGUUGUGAAAGUUUGCGGCUCAACCGUAAAAUUGCAAUUGAUACUGGCAGUCUUGAGUACAGUUGAGGUAGGCGGAAUUCGUGGUGUAGCGGUGAAAUGCUUAGAUAUCACGAAGAACUCCGAUUGCGAAGGCAGCUUACUAAACUGCCACUGACAUUGAUGCUCGAAAGUGUGGGUAUCAAACAGGA